CCUGGCGGCGAUAGCGCGGUGGUCCCACCUGACCCCAUGCCGAACUCAGAAGUGAAACGCCGUAGCGCCGAUGGUAGUGUGGGGUCUC
rnacentral:rRNA from 1 species